ACAAUGAGAAGACCAUGUUGUUGGUACCUAACCGAGCCUAUGCCCCAGCCUUUCCUUGACUACCACCCCAAGGCACAGGGACAAGGAGGACAGCCUGCUAAUUUUCAACUGCAUUUUGCUCUCUGUUAUGUAGUACUUCAGUGACAGGAUCCACUCAGGAGAGUUGGGGCAAGGCUGGAUGAGGUUCCCAAGGAGCUGAGUUUUGAGUUCAGGUGCCCGCAUGGCAGUGGAAAGAUGCCUCCUGACCUUUCAGACCUUUGAGACCUCUGGGCGUUCUUAGAAAUCACCUCAAGCCUUCAGUCCAGGAUACGACCACCUAGGGGAAUCCCAGGGAAAGGUGGCAGGGAUAUGAUGGGAUGCAAAGUGCUGGAUACUGCAGUGAGCUCACUACAAGAUUUCCAAGAUUCCAAGCCACUGGAUGUUCCAAAGCAUAAAGCUAUUCUCUUGGAGAGGCAGCAAGAAGCAAGCUGGGAGGAGGCCUCACUUUUUGUGCAGAGGAUGAACUACCUUCUCAGUUAUCCUGGGGAACUGCUCAAAGACGCUGAGGAAGAUGAUGUUGACUCACAGGAUGGAACCACAGUAGUUGGAACCAAGAAUCACCUAGAGUGGGACUCAAGCCCAGAAUCCCUUCAGACUGAAGUUCUCUGAGCUAUACUUCUGCACUGGACUGUUUUUCCUGUACUGUCACUUGCAUAACACAUAGUUCUAGAUGCUUUUGACUGGUUGGCUUUCUUUUCUUCUUCUUCUUUUUUUAUUUAUUUUUUCUUUUCUUGG